AUUGACCGCUGGCGGCAGGCCUAACACAUGCAAGUCGAGCGGAGCGGCGGACGGGUGAGUAAUGCCUAGGAAUCUGCCUGGUAGUGGGGGCUAACGUCCGGAAACGGGCGCUAAUACCGCAUACUAUCAGAUGAGCCUAGGACGGAUUAGCUAGUGGGUGGGGUAAAGGCCGACCAAGGCGACGAUCCGUAACUUGUCUGAGAGGAUGAUCAGUCACACGGGAACUGAGACACGGGCCAGACUCUUACGUGAGGCAGCAGUGGGGAAUAUUGGACAAUGGUCGAAAGCCUGAUCCAGCCAUGCGGCGUGUGUGAAGAAGGUCUUCGGGUUGGAAAGCACUUUCAGCGGGGAGGCGUUACCCGCAGAAGAAGCACCGGCUAACUCCGUGCCAGCAGCCGCGGUAAUAC
rnacentral:rRNA from 1 species